AAUGUUAAAGCAGAAAGCAGCACAGCAGGCAGCCUCUUCAAGUGGGCAGGGUCAGCAGGCCCAAACCCCCACAGGCAAGCAAACUGACAAAACCAAGAGUAACAUGAAAGGUUUCUAAGCAUGAAUCGAGGAACAGAAGAAGCAGAGCAGAUGAUCGGAGCAGCAUUUGUUUCUCCCCAAAUCUAGAAAUUUUAGUUCAUAUGUACACUAGCCAGUGGUUGUGGACAACCAUUUACUUGGUGUAAAGAACUUAAUUUCAGUAUAAACUGGCUCUGGGCAGCAUUGGUGAUGCUGUGUCCUGAGUUGUAGCCGCUGUAAUUGUGAAUAUUAACUGAGAUAGUGAAACAUGGUGUCCAGUUUUCUAUUGCAUUUUUUCAAGUGGAAAAGUAAACUAAAUGGUUGACACACAAAUUGGUGGAGAAAUUGUGCAUAUGCCAAUUUUUUGUUAAAAUCUUUUGUUUUGAACUAUACUGCUUUGAGAUCUCCUUUCAGAAGAACGGCAUGAACAGUCUUCAGCCACAGUUGUGAUGGUUGUAAAUGCUCACAAUUGUGUGUUCUUAGGGUUUAUCCAUCCUGGGGUUUGCAAGUUGUUCACUUAAAACAUUCUUAAAAUGGUUGGCUUCUUGUUUGCAAGCCAGCUGAUAUGGUAGCAACCAAAGAUUCCAGUGUUUGAGCAUAUGAAAGACUCUGCCUGCUUACCUGUGCUAGAAAUAACAGCAUCUAAAGUGAAGACUUAAGAAAAAUUUAGUGACUACUAGAUUAUCCUUAGGACUCUGCAUUAACUCUAUAAUGUUCUUGGUAUUAAAAAAAAAAGCAUAUUUGUCACAGAAAUUUAGUUAACAUCUUACAACUGAACAUGUAUGUAUGUUGCUUAGAUAAAUGUAAUCACUGUAAACAUCUAUAUGAUCUGGGAUUUUGUUUUUAUUUUGAAAUGGGAGCUUUUUUGUUUACAAGUUCAUUAAAAACUAAAAACUGUUUCUGUAAGGAAAUGAGAUUUUUUUUAAAAACAACAAAAAAAAUGCCUUGCUGACUCACAAAUCAAAAUCUCCCUAAUUUUUUAAUAGACUACUUCAAGCCAUUUGUUACAUAGUAUUUCUUUGCAAAUCAUUUUAGAUUUAGUGUUACAACUUUUCCUCGGAUUUUUUUAUUUAAAAAAAAUUUUUUUUUCCUGUAGGGGAAAGGCAUUCUGUCAUUUUUCUUUUUUUAAUGACUUACAGACACAGUACUCACUGCUGCGGCUGCAACUGCCAGGACUUGGUCGCUAGCCAGUACUUGGUAUUGUAACUCUUGCAGCCUCAGGCUAACAAACAGCUGGACUGAUUUUGAAUAAGAAUGAAAGCGUUAAAGGGUUUAACUAUAAAGUGAAGCUUUUCUUUAAAUUUCUUGUUAAUUGGCUUUGAGCAGAUAGACUCCUAACCUUGGAGAGCAUUACACCAUGUGAGGUUCAUGUGAUUGCUGACCCUCCCUGGCCCUUACCCAUUUCUAUAAGUUAUCUGCACUUCCUCUCUCAAUUUUAUAUGCAGCUCUUUUCUCUUUCUGACCCAAGAGAAAGAAAAACUUAAUUCUUUAGUGUAAUUUAUUCAUUUAUAGCAUGUCACGAUAAAUUAAAAGAACUUUUGUCUGAAAAUGCUGCCGCCAGGAGCCUAUCGUGUAAAUGUAGAUAUUUUAUAAAAUAACCUUGAAACUGUAAAUUGACACGUUUGGUCAGAUUGUCAGUUUUAAUUUGGUUUUUUUGUUGAUUUUUUUGAAAACUACAUUAGCAAUAAUUCAUUAAAUGGUUACCACAUUCUGCCAUUAACGGAUAUAUUAGCACCAUCAUACUGCAGAAAUCCUAGUGAGUAUGAACUUUGGGGUAGGCAGCUUCUUUGUUUCCUUUCUAUCCACCCAUGUCAGUUAAGGUAUUUGUUUCUUUGACUAAUAAACCCUUUGAUACUUUUAGCCAGAAAUCAGUCUCAUAAAGCUAUUUUUGAGUAUAGUUUGUGUAAAAUAAAAAUGUUUAGCUCUGGUAAUAACUUUUCCAAGCUGAACUCCCUCUAGCAAGAUAUUUUUCAGUGCUUUUAUUUACUAUGCACUUAGACUAUGCACUUUUUCUGAAAUAUUUUUGUAACACUUAACUUUUUUGUAUUUUUGCCAUUUGAAAAGGUUGUGGUGUAGUUGGUCUGUAAUUAAGUUGCAGAUUUAAAACUGCUGUUAGCUUUGUAAAUCAAAAUAAUAGGUGUUUUUGUCCUGGUAUAUUGUCAUUCCAUCUGCAGCUGGAGCUGGAAUCCCAAUGAUCUUCUAGCUACCAUUCAUUUUCUUCACAGUUCACAAAAGAAGAAUGUGAAAUUCGGUGAAUGCUGUUACUAAUCCUGUCGGGAGAUGAAUCUCAUUUCACCAAAAUUAAAUUAUGUUUUUCCAGUAAAAUGAUGAUACAAGUUGAAGACACAUCACUCUGAAAUUUGGAAGACCUCACCACUUAAGGCUCCACAGUGGCUUACUCAGCUGAACUCUAGGUUACUACUCUUUACUUUGUUCACCCAUUGGGGGGUGCAGUUUUUUUAAAUGUUGGGAGAUGGCCAUUCUAACUACUGUUGAAUGUCUCUGUUUUGGGAAGGUAUAACAAGAAAAUAAAAAAGAAUAUAUAUGAA